rnacentral:lncRNA from 1 species
AUGCCCCUAAAAAUCCUUAUUGCUCUUGCAAUGGUCAACAAAUCUCCUGUUGCAACAUGUAGGGGAUGUCUGAAGGGUGCAGGAAUUCACGUCUGCUGCAGCGCAGGCCCAGAGCACAAGCCAUUGUUUAUGUAUGGGUUACAUAGGUUACGCGGAGAAUUUCAACCUCUGUUCGACACAGACACGCUCCAGAGCCGAGCUGCUGGAGUCGAACGGCGGCCUCCGAUAAAAAAGUUUCACAACGUUUGCCGAUGCAGAUUAGCAGCGGGUUGGAAACGCGAGCGGCUUUAUCUGGGGAUCCGGGAGAUGCUUUUCACGCUAACGGCACCGGCGUGUUCGCCUGCCAGCCACGCCGUCAUUAGCUUUCUGGUGGGUUCUGCAUGCAGACGGCGGAGGACGUGCCGCGUCCUUCGCUGUUUUGACUUUGCAUCGGGAUGCAAGGGGACAGACGGAGAGACGGGCUGGCUGGUGGCCGUGCAGGUCCAGAAAAAAUCCUGGGAGCAGUGCAUCGAGUGCAUCGAGUGGUGGGGAAAGGGGAGGCUUAAAGGCAGGUUGACGAAGACCACGAGGGGAAAACGGCGGAGGUGGAGAGCACGAGGUGAGGAAGGGAACAGCAGGCCACGGAGGACUGGGAGCCAGGCCUGGGUGUGGCGCCGUGGGCCGUCACGGCGGUGUGGAGUGGAGCGCUCCGUGUCGGCGCAUGAGUCACCGGAGGGAGGCUUUUCUGCCGAGGAUCCCCGCGGGAUGGAGAAAGGAAGGAAGAGAAGGAGGGAGGGAAGGACGAAAGGAAGCGAGGAAGGAAAAAUCCCCCUCGCCCCGGAGCGAAGGAGCAAGAGAAUGAAGCGCGCGCGAGGGGAGCGAGGGAAAGUGUGGACGAUGACUCAGGGCCACGAACCACAUGGCGAUGGAGGAGGGAGGGAGGAAUUACUCAUCAGAGCAUGUGGAGUCUCAUAUGGCUAUCACAGGACCGGCAGUGUGCUUCCCUCAUGGCUGCGACUCAGCCGCCACGCAACCGCCGCCGCUCCCUCGGGCCGAAAGACAGCGGCCAUGUUGUACCGGAGAGCAGAGAAUGGGGCGAGGGGGGGUGGGGGGUGUCAGGGUGAGCUGGGGGUCAAAUUCACACCCAAAGGUUCUUUUUUAAAUGCCUUCAUCAAGCAGAGGUGCCUGAGGACGUCUAUUAGAGUCAGAGUCAGGUUUUCCCCUUUCAGCCUGUGUGCGACUGAUAGUGUCAUUCUGGGUCUGAGAGACCAGAGCCGGAGUCGGGCUCGACCCAGUGCAGGGCCCGAAUCAGCACCGGGUUGUGUGAGGCCCGAUGGGCUCAGCUUCAGGCCGUAA